UGGCUCAGAUGGUAAAGCGUCUGCCUGCAAUGCAGAAGACCUGGGUUCAAUCCCUG
rnacentral:tRNA from 1 species